CAUUAGGUUGAUUCUGCCUAACGUAGAUGCUAGUCUCUGAGAUUAAGCCAUGCAUGUCAGUGAAGCCUUACGGCGGAACGGCGAACGGCUCAGUAAUGUUGCGGUAAUUUGGUCUCUGUGUGUAAACUAACCACGGUAACCUGUGGCUAAAAGCGGAGAAUAAGGCGCAACCCUAUCAGCUUGUUGGUAGUGUAAAGGACUACCAAGGCCAUGACGGGUAACGGGAAAUCAGGGUUGAUUCCGGAGAGGAGCUGAAGAUGCUCCACGUCAGGACGCAGCAGGCGAACUGUCACUCU
rnacentral:ncRNA from 1 species